rnacentral:rRNA from 1 species
GCAUAUCAAUAAGCGGAGGAAAAGAAACUAUCAAGGGAUUCCCCUAGUAACGGCGAGUGAAGCGGGAUGAGCUCAAAUUUGAAAAUCUGGCUGGUUUACUAGUCCGAAUUGUAGUUUAUAGAAGCGUUUUCGGUGGCAGUCUCGGUAUAAAUCCUUUGGAAUAGGGUAUCAUAGAGGGUGAGAAUCCCGUCUUUGACUGAGAAUAUGCUACUAUGUGAUACGUUUUCAAAGAGUCGAGUUGUUUGGGAAUGCAGCUCAAAAUGGGUGGUAAAUUUCAUCUAAAGCUAAAUAUUGGCGAGAGACCGAUAGCGAACAAGUACCGUGAGGGAAAGAUGAAAAGAACUUUGAAAAGAGAGUUAAACAGUGCGUGAAAUUGUUGAAAGGGAAACGCUUGGAACCAGUCAUGCGGUUGGGAAAUCAGUGUUUUGCAAGGGGGAAUGGGGGAGGUGUGGACCGUAAGGCUGCUCUUUCCUAUAUCUUUUUUGUAAGGCAUGCACUUUUUCUUCUGCAGGUCAACAUCAGUUUCUUCUGCUGGACAAAACCCUUGAGAAGGUAGCAGCUUUGGCUGUGUUAUAGCUCUGGGGCGAUACAGUGGAGGGGACUGAGGUUUUCGCAGCAUGUGCUCUCGGGCAAGGCUGAUUGGGUGCUAUGGGAUCGUUCAGGGUACAAUACAUGUAUUUUGCCUUGUGUCUUUUCUAUACUCGCUCAACUCGGCUCUUCCAUGCUUAGGAUGUUGACUUAAUGGUUCUAAUCGACCCGUCUUGAAACACGGACCAAGGAGUCUAACAUAUAUGCAAGUGUUUGGGUGGCAAACCCAUGCGCGUAAUGAAAGUGAACGUAGGUGCGAUCCGCAAGGUGCAGCAUCGACCGAUCUUGAUAUUUUUGGAUAGAUUUGAGUAAGAGCAUAUAUGCUGGGACCCGAAAGAUGGUGAACUAUGCCUGAAUAGGGUGAAGCCAGAGGAAACUCUGGUGGAGGCUCGUAGCGAUUCUGACGUGCAAAUCGAUCGUCAAAUUUUGGGUAUAGGGGGCGAAAGACUAAUCGAACCCAUCUAGUAGCUGGUUUCUGCGAAAA